rnacentral:lncRNA from 1 species
CUCAGACUCACCGGUGUGCCUCAUUACGUUCACUCAGGAAAUCUUGGAAAGAAAUAUGAGGAUGUCCCUGCUGCAUCUCAGGGACAGGGAGUCAGCUGUAUGUGCUCUUCAGCUGAUCUAUAUGGUGUAACUUCAGCACCCAUGAAACAGCAGCUUCCCUGAGCAGGUGAUUUUUAUGGUGGUUGGCAGUUGAUUUGAUGGACUGAUUGAUACCACAGCUUAGAGGACAUACAUGUGUUCUGUAAGCAGCCUGAACUAGUGGGUAUCAGUUUUACUGUGAUGCUUUAAACCAUUCAUUUAUUCAGGUUUAACUGAAGCAGAGUUCAAGCAAUUCUUUUCCUUUGUCAUCUUAUGGCAAGAAGAGCAUAUAGAUAAAAGGGGCCAAGAUCAGUACUUCAGAGAACAAGGUCACAACCUGAUUGCCUGGUGCUACGAGGCUUCAAAUUACUGCAGCAGCUCACAUUCCUGUCUUUAGAAACCUUCCAUCCCAAAAUGGAGAUGUGCAAGAGAGAAAACAUUAAAUAUUAAACUGUUAGAGUUUAAAAGUCCCUUUUGAAACUGUUAUCUUACAAGUCAGUUAUGAAAACGCAAACAUGAU